rnacentral:rRNA from 1 species
GAUGAACGCUGGCGGCGUGCCUAAUACAUGCAAGUCGAGCGAACAGACGAGGAGCUUGCUCCUCUGACGUUAGCGGCGGACGGGUGAGUAACACGUGGAUAACCUACCUAUAAGACUGGGAUAACUUCGGGAAACCGGAGCUAAUACCGGAUAAUAUAUUGAACCGCAUGGUUCAAUAGUGAAAGACGGUUUUGCUGUCACUUAUAGAUGGAUCCGCGCCGCAUUAGCUAGUUGGUAAGGUAACGGCUUACCAAGGCAACGAUGCGUAGCCGACCUGAGAGGGGGAUCGGCCACACUGAAACUGGGACACGGUCCAGACUCCUACGGGAGGCAGCAGUGGGAAAUCUUCCGCAAUGGGCGAAAGCCUGACGGGGCAACGCCGCGUGAGUGAUGAGGGUCUUCGGAUCGUAAAACUCUGUUAUUGGGGAAGAACAAAGGUGUAAGUAACUAUGCACGUCUUGACGGUACCAAAGAAGAAAGCCACGGCUAACUACGU